GCUCAUUUGGCCUAGUGGUUAGAGCUUCCGCCUUGGAUGCGGGAUGUCGUGGGUUCGAACCCAGGCCGAGUCA